rnacentral:rRNA from 1 species
UACAGAGGGUGCGAGCGUUAAUCGGAAUUACUGGGUGUAAAGGGUGCGUAGGCGGAUAAUUAAGUCAGGUGUGAAAAACCCAGGCUCAACUUGGGUCUUGCGCUUGAAACUGAUUUUCUUGAGGCUAGUAGAGGAUAACGGAAUUUCCGGUGUAGCGGUGGAAUGCGUAGAUAUCGGAAGGAACACCAGUGGCGAAGGCGGUUAUCUGGACUAGUACUGACGCUGAGGCACGAAAGCAUGGGGAGCAAACAGG